AGACGUUCGUAGAAGCCACCGUCUCAUCACUGAUGAUAAAUAAAAAAGUUUCUUGCCAAUGGGGGAUGAAUGGGUCAGCCUUUCGUAGAAGUCACAACAGAAUUCCACUUUGGGAGGCAGCCUCCUUUACAAGUCAGAUGUGGACCUCAGCCGUGCCGUUUCUUGUCAACUGCCAGCUCACCUGCCCCCGACACUGGACAUACGUGUCUCCAUGUCUGUCAGUGACCUGUUGAGGGGCCCGCAGAUUUUCUGUGUGCACUUCCUGUGUGCUUCUACCUCUCUGCUCAGGCAGCAGGUGAGAGAAGUCACUUCCUUUCCUUCAUCGUCAAAACAUUAAAUUGGAGGUUUUUAGAUCCCAUCCCUAUAGCAACCAUAUUUAUAUGUCCCUACAACCAAAGAUGUAGAUAUCAGGAUCUGUAUUUUUUAUGUCCUAUAGCCUAAAGUCAACGUGCAAAUUGUCUUAAAGAAAGUGAGUUGUUAUUUCCAGUGUUAAUGCAGUGUGACAGUAAAUGCAUUCUGCUGUCCAGUUUCCAACGGAGUUACACAAUCAUACCUGGUGUGCCUCCUUGAAAACCCUUUUGUUUUAAAGUUCCAUAAAGAAAG
rnacentral:lncRNA from 1 species